CAAUAGCGUAUAUUAAAGUUGUUGCGGUUAAAAAGCUCGUAGUUGGAGUUCUGCCAGGUGCCGUCUGUCCGCCCCAGUGGUGAGUACGUGACGCGCAUUUGGCCCUUUCAAGGGGAGCGUAUCUGCACUUUACUGUGUGGUGCGGGAUCCUUGACUUUUACUUUGAGGAAAUAGGAGUGUUCCAAGCAGGCUCUCGUCGUGCACAGCUCAGCAUGGAAUAAUAGCAUUGGACCUCGAUUCUAAGCUGUUGGUUGCCAGAAGCGAGGUAAUGAUGAAGAGGGAUAGUUGGGGGCAUUCGUAUUUAACUGUCAGAGGUGAAAUUCUUGGAUUUGUUAAAGACGGACUACUGCGAGAGCAUCUGCCAUGGAUGUUUUCAUUGA
rnacentral:rRNA from 1 species